rnacentral:rRNA from 1 species
UACGGGGGGGGCGAGCGUUGUUCGGAAUUACUGGGCGUAAAGGGCGCGUAGGCGGCGUGGUAAGUCACUUGUGAAAUCUCUGAGCUUAACUCAGAACGGCCAAGUGAUACUGCUGUGCUAGAGUGCAGAAGGGGCAAUCGGAAUUCUUGGUGUAGCGGUGAAAUGCGUAGAUAUCAAGAGGAACACCUGAGGUGAAGACGGGUUGCUGGGCUGACACUGACGCUGAGGCGCGAAAGCCAGGGGAGCAAACGGG